GUGUAGUAGUCAGGAUUGCCCCAUGCAGGGGUGUGAACCAGGGCUGGCGGCUGGAGGGUAGUCACGAGGGGUGGGACCGUGAAGGUAGCCGUUGUCCUCAUCAGUAGGGCACGGUCAUAUUGGCCCCUAUCUGUCCACUGUCACGCUGGCCCCGAGGGUCAGGCAGCCUAACUGCGCCACACAAGGCUGAACACGAUACAGGACGUGGGGGAGACCUGUGCCUGGCUGGAGAGGCAGCACACUCAGGGACGGACAGGGGUGUCAGUGAUGCAGAAGGGUAUUCAGGUGGUGGGAAAGUAUGAACAGUCACGAUGGUGAGAGUGUGCAAACCGAGCUCGUGGGAGGCCCAGGAAGCUAAUUUUAUUACAGGCUUGGAUGUACAUUUAAGUGUGACAAGAGGUUUUGGGGAGCUUUCCAUCCCUUCCAACACAGAGAACUGAAGCAGGAGGUUAAGACUGCCAUGAGAGGCUUAGUUGGGAUGUAAGGAAAGGCCUAGUGAACUUGGAAGAUGGUUAGAUGCCAACGAGAAGACACUCAGGCUGAGAGAGCUUUCCCAAAGUCCACACAGCAAACAGCAGCGACUCUGACCUGGAUGGCCAUGUCUGAACACCUUCCUCUGCCCCUGGAGAAAAUGACUGACUACCGAGGAAGCGCAGGCCCAUCCAACAGAAUCAAGGCCAGAGUGGGUCUCCUGCCGCCUCCCCUCCCACGGUCUGUGCAGAAACAAGGAGUGGCAUGGCCAUGAACCCAGGGAGGUUGUCCAUGAUUGUAUUCCGUUUCGGUGCCCUGUACGUGUUCAAUCAACAUUUGGUGAAUAAAUAAAAGACCCC
ensembl:lncRNA